UACGAAGGGGGCUAGCGUUGUUCGGAAUCACUGGGCGUAAAGCGCACGAAGGCGGAUUUUUAAGUCAGGGGUGAAAUCCCGAGGCUCAACCUCGGAACUGCCUUUGAUACUGGGGAUCUGGAGUCCGGGAGAGGUGAGCGGAACUGCGAGUGUAGAGGUGAAAUUCGUAGAUAUUCGCAAGAACACCAGUGGCGAAGGCGGCUCACUGGCCCGGAACUGACGCUGAGGUGCGAAAGCGUGGGGAGCAAACAGG
rnacentral:rRNA from 1 species